rnacentral:snoRNA from 1 species
CUCCCUCUUCUCAAUAUGCCUUUGUUCCUGUGUCUUAUUUUUCCUUUAAUAUAGGGAAAGAAAAACUGCUUUAAAAACUAGGAGAAAUGUCAGAGCCAAGUUGA